UUAAACUUUGUUUUUCCAGAGAGAAUCUUUGAGGACCAUGAGAACCUGGUUGAGAACUUGUUGAACUGGACCAGGGACAGCACCAACAGACUGAUGUUCAUCGAACGCAUUGAGAAAUAUGCACUUUUCAAGAACCCUCAGAACUAUUUGCUGGGGCGUAAGGAGACGUGUGAGAUGGCAGACAGAAAUAAAGAGGCUCUGUUGGAGGAGUGUUUCUGUGGAAGCUCUAUCAGUGUGCCUGAGAUGGAAGGGGUGCUCUGGCUCAAAGACGACGGCAAGAAAUCCUGGAAGAAGCGCUACUUCCUGUUACG